rnacentral:sRNA from 1 species
UCUUCCCUGGCCUUGCCCUCUCUCUUCCUGCCUCGUAGCCGUGGGCGUCCAAAUGAAGCUGGAAUUCCUCCAGCGCAAAUUCUGGGCGGCAACACGGCAGGAUCUGGACUGCUUCGUCAUCGACAACAACGGGUUCAUUCUGAUCUCCAAGAGGUCCCGAGAGAGUGACCAUGUAUGACUAUCAGGCCAUGUGCAAACCCUCGAGUCACCAUCACAGUGCAGCCCAGCCCCUGGUCAGCCCAAUUUCUGCCUUCUUGACGGCGACCAGGUGGCUGCUGCAGGAGCUGGUGCUGUGAGUGGGGGUAGACACGGGGCUGGUGGAGGGCUGCAUGCGAGGGUGGCUUAGGAGGGUGUCCUUGAGCAGGAGGCUGCAAGGUCUCCAGGACAACCCACUUGCUACCAGACCCUGGGGAAGGAGGGCACAAUCCCUGGGCAUGGACACCACCUCUUCCCUGCAUGCUGCCCCUGGGAGGGACCUCAUUGCUCAACCAGAGCCCU